UUUUAAUUGUCCAUAUUAAAUUAUCAUUGUUAUUGUGCACACAUUGAUGUCAGACAUGCACCUGCCUCAAUGCCCUGUUUCUGAUGACUGAGAUGAAUGUAGGAGCAGAUUUCAGGAGCAGGACAAGACACCCUCUAUUAGACUGAGGACUGGGAUGAAUGUAGGAGCAGAUUUCAGGAGCAGGACAAGACACCCUCUAUUAGACUGAGGACUGGGAUGAAUGUCAACAACAACAACAACAACAACAAAAGGAAACUUCUUGGCUGUGAACAAACUCAUUUGAAUAAAUGUGGGUUGUGACACUCUUAUGUAGGUGUCAUAACCAGCCAUAAAAUAACACACUAUAUGUCACAACAGGUGUAAAUAUAUGGGUCAUGACAGUGUUAUAACUAUAUUAUGACAGGUUAUGACUAGUUAUGUCAGCUGUUAUGACCGUGUUAUUACAUGUUACUGAUUGUAUCGCGCAACAUAUACCUUGAAGGAAAAGUCAAUGUAGUGGAGACUAGAUUAGAUCUUCCUCAUUCAAAUGGGAACCAGAGAAACCUCCCUCAAGGGAGGACUGAUCCUUGAUCAUGGAACACCAGAGAAUGGGAACCAGAGAAACCUCCAUCAGGGGAGAUACGAUCCUUGAUCAUGGAACACCAGAGAUUGGGAACCAGAGAAUCCUCUCCUGAUGAUCCUUGAUCAUGGGACACCAGAGAUUGGGAACCAGAGAAUCCUCUCCUGAUGAUCCUUGAUCAUGGAACACCAGAGAAUGGGAACCAGAGAAACCUCCCUCAGGGGGAGGUACGAUCCUUGAUCAUGGAACACCAGAUAAUGGGAAACGAGGAAUAAUGGAACAGUAAAAGGAUGCAGUAUAAUUCAGCUAUUUAUGACUUCAGGAAUCCUUCUAUUCCAAUGGGAAUGGGAUAAGCCUAUCAGCAGUGGCUGAUUGUGACAAUGGGAAUGGGAUAAGCCUAUCAGCAGUGGCUGAUUGUGACAAUGGAAGAACUUGGGAUUCCACAGGGAAAACAGCCUACCAAAUGGCACCGUAUUCCCUACAUAGUGCACUACUUUAGACCAGAGCCUCAUGGACCCUAGUCAACAGUAGUGCACGAUGUAGGGAAUAGGGUGCCAUUUGGGAGGUAUCCUUUAUGUUCUGAAUUAAGCAUGUUCCCUAAAGGAUUAAUGUGACCUCAGAAUGCUGCUAGAGCCAGUGGAAUGUACUGGACUAUUCUGUCUCCCUGGAGACUAGUGUACUGGGAUCUCUGGACUAUUCUGUCUCCCCGGAGACUAGUGUACUGGGAUCUCUGGACUAUUCUGUCUCCCCGGAGACUAGUGUACUGGGACCUCUGGAGUAUUCUGUCUCCCUGGAGACUAGUGUACUGGGAUCUCUGGACUAUUCUGUCUCCCGGAGACUAGUGUACUGGGAUCUCUGGACUAUUCUGUCUCCCGGAGACUAGUGUACUGGGAUCUCUGGACUAUUCUGUCUCCCGGAGACUAGUGUACUGGGAUCUCUGGACUAUUCUGUCUCCCCGGAGACUAGUGUACUGGGAUCUCUGGAAUUUUCUGUCUCCCCGGAGACUAGUGUACUGGGAUCUCUGGACUAUUCUGUCUCCCUGGAGACUAGUGUACUGGGAUCUCUGGACUAUUCUGUCUCCCGGAGACUAGUGGCCAAACACACUGACACACAGAUGCGUACAAGCACACACACUGGCAAUCAUGUACACAAAGGCACACACACACACACACACACAUAUAGACAAACACACACACAUACACACACACAAACUACAUACACCCUUAUCCCCUCUCCAACGUUGGCUUGGAGUCAGGAGAGGGGAGCUAGAACCAUGGUGUGCUGGGAUGGUCGCCAGUAUCCAAAACAUGAAGAAUGAGGGAUGGAGAGAAAGAGACUGGGGGGGAGGG
ensembl:lncRNA